UUUUUUUUGAAGUUUGGGCAAGCAGUGAAAAUAAAGAGUUGAAGUAGAGUACAAGAACUGAGCUUGCUAUUUCUCUUCACUUCAAUUUCCCCCUCUACCUGAUUUGGGCGGCGGUGGCGGCUGCUCCUGCUGCUGUUUUUGGGUUUGUUGCUUUGCUUCUUCUUUGUUUCUUUCGGGUUGAAAUUAUUCUACUACCGGUGGUUAUUAAUACGCGCCCGUGCGGCCAUGAGCUUCCAAGACCUCCAAAAUGGCGGCAAGCCCUCCUCCUCUUCUUCUUCUCGGACUCAAAACCCUUCCCAGGCAGUCGCCGCCGGUAUUUUCCAGAUCAACACUGCCGUUGCGGCGUUUCGUCGUCUCGUCGAUAUCAUCGGCUCCGCCAAGGACACUCCCGAUCACCGUCAAAAGCUGCACACUGCGAGGCAACGGAUAAUGCAACUGGUGAAGGAUACUUCUGCUAAGCUCAAAUCCCUUAGCGAAUCUGAUCUGACUUCCAACGUCAAUCCAGGUAAGAAAAUAGAAGAUGCUAAACUUGCUAGGGAUUUCCAAACUACGUUGCAAGAAUUCCAGAAAGUUCAACAGCUUGCUGCUGAGCGCGAGUCUGCUUACUCACCUGCUCCUCCAUCUUCCUUAUCCACAACCUCCAGUUCUGUCAAGCACUCAAUUCCCACCAUGGAUGAAGAGAACCAACCUUUUCUUAUUGAACAAAAGAGGCAGGAGGUCCUAUUGCUGGGAAAUGAAAUUGCAUUUAAUGAAGCCAUUAUUGAGGAAAGGGAGCAGGGAAUUCGGGAAAUACAGGAUCAAAUUGACCAAGCAAAUGAAAUAUUUAAGGAUCUUGCAGUUCUAGUUCACGAGCAGGGUGUGGUCAUUGAUGACAUUCAUUCAAAUAUUGAGGUGUCCUCAGCUGCCACAACCCAAGCUAGAGUACAGCUAUCUAAGGCUUCCAAAAGUGCAAAAUCUAGAACUUCGUGGUGCUGGUGGCUGCUGGGAAUUUUUGUACUCAUACUGGUCAUUUUACUUCUUGUCCUUAUCCUCUAAUUUGUGGCAAUAUGCAGCUGAGGUGUGCCAUUGCAGGAUGAAACUUUGAUCAUCUUUCUGCAGUGUUGAGUGUACAAUUCCAACCCUCCCAGUGCUGGUUGCUUGCCUGAACCGCCUACUCAUAUUAAUGAUCGAAAGCCAAUACAAGUACUAGUAUUUAUAGGUAAGCCUGCUUGUCACAAGCAAGCCCUUCCCCAUCGAGUUGAGUAGCCUUGAAUAUCUCCUCUUCCAAGCAGUAACAUCAACAGUAUGACAUUGUAUCCGUGAUGGAAUAAAUACCAUGACAGCUAGAGUGUUAAGUUCAUGCAAUGGAAGAAUUAUUGGCUCCAAUAUCUUUUAAAUGAAGUUUACAUUGCAGACAUUCAGUAGUGCGCCCCCUCGACAUAUAUUUUGGUUUUAAAUCUCUUUUGUGGCAAGUUCUAGUUGAAACAACAAUGCCCCAAGACAACAGGCUCCAUAUUCAUUAUAAUCCUUUUAUCAGCUAACUCCUCAAUGGGGAUCAAUUUUUUAUUUUUCUUUUAUAAAUUGCAAAUUGGAUGUACAGAUAUUUUAUCCGAUUUGAAGUUCUUUAUAGAAAGGUGGGAAAUUAAAAAUA